rnacentral:rRNA from 1 species
GACGAACGCUGGCGGCGUGCCAAAUACAUGCCAGUUGAGCGCUGAAGGUUGGUACUUGUACCAACUGGAUGAGCAGCGAACGGGUGAGUAACGCGUGGGGAAUCUGCCUUUGAGCGGGGGACAACAUUUGGAAACGAAUGCUAAUACCGCAUAAAAACUUUAAACACAAGUUUUAAGUUUGAAAGAUGCAAUUGCAUCACUCAAAGAUGAUCCCGCGUUGUAUUAGCUAGUUGGUGAGGUAAAGGCUCACCAAGGCGAUGAUACAUAGCCGACCUGAGAGGGUGAUCGGCCACAUUGGGACUGAGACACGGCCCAAACUCCUACGGGAGGCAGCAGUAGGGAAUCUUCGGCAAUGGACGAAAGUCUGACCGAGCAACGCCGCGUGAGUGAAGAAGGUUUUCGGAUCGUAAAACUCUGUUGGUAGAGAAGAACGUUGGUGAGAGUGGAAAGCUCAUCAAGUGACGGUAACUACCCAGAAAGGGACGGCUAACUACGUG